AACAAUGACUAGUAAAUGAUCCAAGACCAGCUCAGUUAAUCCUUACCAUUGUGACAAUGAGUCGUCAUAAUGCUGCACCAAAUGUACAUGAUCUUAGGGGCAUUGACAAACAAUGUUACAAGAAUCUACAGUCUGAAGCAAUAUUCCUUGACCCAAGGACUGUACCUGAAAUUAUUUUUUUUUUUAAAUCACCGGUGAAGUGUUCAUUAGAGAAGUCCUUAUCAACCAGUGAAACAGAAGAAUUCCUCACUACGGCAGAAAAUCAUUUCUUAGUCAUCUACGUGGGACUGAUACCAGUGUGGAAGAGCUGGUCACUUUUAAAGGACUUGUGUGAGUUUCCUCCUAAUACAGGAUGUGGUAGGAAUCGCAAGGGAUAACAUUACACCUGUUGGAAAAUAAGUAUUAACACGUUGUUUUAAACCUAUUUGUUAUUGUAACAGCAAGUAAAAUAUGCCCUUUGUGUUUUAUAGAAAUGCAAGGUGUUUAAUGUAAAUUAGUUUAUGCUUACUAAUUUGUUUGAAUACAAUUUUUUCAUGUUCUCAAAAUCCAUUUUAAAGUAUAUAUUUUAAAUUAAAUAGUCUAGGGGGGAGUGUAAGAAUAUGUCGAAGAUAAAUACAAAACGCAGAGGACUAGAAUUACAAUCAAUAGAAAGUUGUUUCAGUUCAACAUCUGUUUAGAAUGUUAGGAAUAUCAGUCCUGAACUCAUAGCUAUGUGUGCAGUUUUCAUUGGUCUGAAUCAUCUGUACAUCGAGUCUGGAGCAGGAUACUUGUAAUUUGGCCCAGUUGUUCUGCAAGGACUUCUAAUUGGGUUAUAAAUUACAUCCUGUUGCUUUGUUCCAUGGCGAGAAUCACAAAGGACAGGGGAGCAUGAAUAUCUACCUCCCCGCAUGAUUUGUUCUUUGAAUAAACCUAUUAACGUCCCCCA